rnacentral:rRNA from 1 species
UUUGAUGUUCUAACGUGGACCCGUGAUCCGGGUUGCGGACAGUGUCUGGUGGGUAGUUUGACUGGGGCGGUCUCCUCCUAAAGAGUAACGGAGGAGCACGAAGGUUGGCUAAUCCUGGUCGGACAUCAGGAGGUUAGUGCAAUGGCAUAAGCCAGCUUGACUGCGAGCGUGACGGCGCGAGCAGGUGCGAAAGCAGGUCAUAGUGAUCCGGUGGUUCUGAAUGGAAGGGCCAUCGCUCAACGGAUAAAAGGUACUCCGGGGAUAACAGGCUGAUACCGCCCAAGAGUUCAUAUCGACGGCGGUGUUUGGCACCUCGAUGUCGGCUCAUCACAUCCUGGGGCUGAAGUAGGUCCCAAGGGUAUGGCUGUUCGCCAUUUAAAGUGGUACGCGAGCUGGGUUUAGAACGUCGUGAGACAGUUCGGUCCCUAUCUGCCGUGGGCGCUGG